GGGAAAUCGUGGCUAAUACCGGAUAUGAGCACUCAUCGCAUGGUGGGUGUUGGAAAGAUUUAUCGGUGGGGGAUGGACUCGCGGCCUAUCAGUUUGUUGGUGAGGUGAUGGCUCACCAAGACGAUGACGGGUAGCCGGCCUGAGAGGGCGACCGGCCACACUGGGACUGAGACACGGCCCAGACUCCUACGGGAGGCAGCAGUGGGGAAUAUUGCACAAUGGGCGAAAGCCUGAUGCAGCGACGCCGCGUGGGGGAUGACGGCCUUCGGGUUGUAAACCCCUUUCAGUAGGGAAGAAGCGAGAGUGACGGUACCUGCAGAAGAAGCGCCGGCUAACUACGUGCCAGCAGCCGCGGUAAUACGUAGGGCGCAAGCGUUGUCCGGAAUUAUUGGGCGUAAAGAGCUUGUAGGUGGCUUGUCGCGUCUGCCGUGAAAACCCGAGGCUCAACCUCGGGCGUGCGGUGGGUACGGGCAGGCUAGAGUGUGGUAGGGGAGACUGGAACUCCUGGUGUAGCGGUGAAAUGCGCAGAUAUCAGGAAGAACACCGAUGGCGAAGGCAGGUCUCUGGGCCAUUACUGACACUGAGAAGCGAAAGCAUGGGUA
rnacentral:rRNA from 1 species